ACCCGUAUGUAGAAAUGACUUGUCGACAAUCGGUAAUGUUUAUAAAGGAAACGAAAAUGGAAAUUCUUUUUAACCAAGACAGAGACAUAUAAUACAAAUGUAUUAUAUGUCUCUGACCAAGAGGACUAUUUUUAAAGUUUAAAGAUCUACUGUUUUUAUUUGAUUCAAGUCCAGUAAAUUUAUUACUUAGUAAAGAUCCUUGUCCAGUCAAGUUGUUAUUAUAGAUGCUUUAGAUGAUGGCACAACCUUACUUAUAAAUUAGUCUGACCUCAGAGGCACAUUCAGCAGUAUUUAUCUAAUUAGUCUGGAAAAGUGCAAUAGAUGUUCUGGUGUUCGAUGGAAAGAGUCACACCCUGCUUGUAGUAUACAUCUGUACCUCAUUUAGGAUAUAAUGGAAGAUUGGAAUAAGGUAAGAUUUACUUAAUAGUCCCCUUGUCAUGUGUCGUUUUGUUCCCAAUUAUUGUACAAUUAGAUACAAGUAUGUGAUAAUUUGAGAUAAAAACUAGUAGAAUUCUAGGUGAACUACAAAACUGCUUAUUCCAAGAACACAGAUCAAACAAAAAAUUCAAAACUGGGACAAAGCAGGGUGCACUCAAAACAUUUGACAAACUUAGGUGUUGCUAAUAACUAAGGGAGCUACCAUUUGAUUUUUAUGGGGGGGGCUAGGAUGAAAUUUGAAAAAAUUGGCAGGACAGGAGUUUUGAGUAAAAAAAAAGGCAGGAUGAGACAGUUUGCCAAAAAAAAAGUCAGGAUGACAAUUUAGGAAAAAAAAAGUCAGGAUAAACUAAUAAAAAAAAAGGCAGGACCGAAUAGAGUAAAAAAUAAAAAGGCAGGACUGAAUAGAUGGAAAAAUAAAUAGGCAGGACAAAAUUUUUCAUCCUAGCC